AUAUAUGAUUAUCUACACGAGAUAUAUUCUAUCACGGCCCUACAAAUCUAACCAGGUGAGGUUAGAAUUGUGAGUCUUAUACGCUAAUCAGCAUGUCUACUGCUUGGAAAAGGCUUGGUUAGCACAUCUGCAACUUGAUCCUUAGAAGAUAUGUAGCGAACUUGCAGGUCUUUAUUGGCCACCUUGUCUCGCACAAAAUGAUAGUCCACUUCAAUGUGUUUUCAGUCGGGAAUGGAAGAUGGGAUUAGCUGUGAGGUAGGUGGCACAUACAUUAUCACACCACAGAGUAGGAAUUUGAGGAGAUAAAAUAGAAAACUCACGAAGCAGAGUUUGAAUCCAAGUUAAUUCAGUAGUUGCAGCACCAAUAGAGCGAUAUUCUGCUUCGGUAGAUGAACGCGCUGCCGUAGG
rnacentral:misc_RNA from 1 species